CAAAUUAAGACAUAUCUGAUGUGAUCAUGGAAAGACUCCAAAUGCUCAGCCAACAAAUCAGAAAACAUCUACUGCUGUAUUUACUUACAGCAUCAGGUGUUAUCUGUCAAGAUUGGAUUCGACCAAGUGACCAGAGGACCAGUGUUUCCAGUACAGAAGGAGAUCCUGUAACACUGGAGUGUUCAUAUGACACAAGCAGCAGCUAUGUUCUCCUUUAUUGGUACAGACAGUUUUCUAAAACACAGCCAGAAUAUAUACUGCUUAAAGGUGGACGAUCACAGACAUAUGAGAACAUACCAGACCCUGAUCGAUUUGGAUCAACUACUUCCCAGAAAUCCACUUCACUGACCAUUAAGAGUGUAACUCUGUCAGAUUCAGCUCUUUAUUACUGUGCUCUAAGAGUA